CUAUAGGUAAUCUAUCUUUCCCUCAACACCUCAUGGCAUGGUAUGUUAUCUUAUCUCGCUGUAUACAGAUCUAAAUGUAGUUAGCCAAUCACAGACUGUGUUGUUGCCAGUAGCCUACAUCAGACAACCAAUAAGAGUUGUGUCCACGGCUUUCAGAGGAGUUCAUGGGUGUUAUUCGGGUUCCUUGGGAUGUACAUUCAGUCGAAUAGAGCAGUUCAUAGACUUUCCCAGAGGGUCCGUGCUAUUCGGGAUCCUUGGGAUGUCCCUACCUCUAUCAAGUAUAAAUGUGAAAUGGUUAAGUUUAGUGUUAGUUAGGGUAAGGACGUCCCAAGGAAUCCGGAUUGCAGUGACCGUUCAUAGACUGAGAGACCUGCACAGUAUUUGAGAGCUCGGCGGCGACACAGACAAGCGGCAGAAGCGAUUUUCGAGUGUUUGCCCCAGAUAGUUCCCUUAGAGACGAUGAAAAGAAUUACCAAGAUGUACUUGAUCCAAUUGAGGAUCAAGAUGUGAUGAGCCAGAGCAACCAAUCAUCUUCACUGCAGCUGCUCAACCCACCACUCUCACUAUUCUCCCUCCACAAGUUUGGAUGAACGGACCAACGGGACUGCCAUGGGCGAGUCCCUUGACGGGUACCAGGAAUUGUAGAAGGACAACCAGAAGGUAAUUAUCUUUGCACACAACAGCAGCGUCCAGGCCUCCAGAGUAUUCACUUUAUCGCCUGCUGUUCAGACGGGAGCCGCAGCUGUUUACUGGGGUUAAACGAUGCAAUUGUAUAUAAAAUUAUUGCCUAUACUGUAGUAUAACAAAUGUGUGAUUGACUUAGUGUUUUUCUAUUGAUAUUUUUGUAUAACGUACUUUGAGAUCACUGAUACUCCACCAGAUGUGGUGGAAGUUGUCGAACCAGAUCAGAACGCCUUCGAGGACCACCUCCAUGCAAGGAUGUGGAGGUUUUUGACCAGGUGAGACUGAACAUGGACAAGGCGCAUGAGAAAAAGGAGAGUCACCGGAGGAGAAUCAAGGGGACCAAAUGCUUCGACAUCUGGGCGAAUGACUUGGCUUGGAAGAAGGACGAAAGGAAGGUGAGACCUGGGAAAGCUUGGUGCUCUUUUGCUCCUAGCUGGGGUCAACAUCCAUUAAGGUGAAUCUAAAGAUCUCAGAUGAUAACUAUUUGCAUUUGCCGCCUCAUGGUGGGCGGCAUUGCCACGUUGUCAGCAGUACCAUCACUGGCCCAGGGAUUUCUCCAAAUAGUCAAUCUCAAGGCUAACCACCACUUCCAGGUAGGUAGUUAAGGUCUAUGACUCCAGUGGUCAUGACAACACCCUGGAGUUUCUCUCACAACUGAUCUCUAUCUUUUCCAGGGACCAUCCCUUACCUCCCUCAUCAACCCCACUGACAUAAAAAAAUUGACAUGUAUCCUUUCUUUUCUGUCUGACAUUAACAUUAUUGCAUGUCUAAUCAAACAGUUAAAUUAAAUCAUUCAAUAACUGUAUUUUGACAUACAUGAUAAUCCUUUGACCUGUGUGUUGGCUUGUUUACGUAUGUCUCUCCUACCUUUUUCCCUUUACUCUGCUCCUGUUCUCCAGGACCUAGGGGUUCUGCCUAACACCCAGACAUGGAUCCACCUGAUGUCCUCCAUAACCAACCACCCUCUAACUUUUCAUUACAUCAGCUACUGUUAUUGUCAUUAUCUGCUAAGAGCAAUAAAACUAUCAUACUGGGCACAUAAUGUGAGAUGCACAGAUUAGCUAAAAACACUAGCACUUCAAACAUUCAGAACAAAGAGGGCAGCAGCGCCUGGACUUUGCCGUUCCCCUCAUCGAGUCCACCUUCCAAGACUGACUACCUGUUAAAAACAUGUGACAGGCAGAACCUCCCAUCCACACAAUACCCAACUCCUCUCUAUUCCACACACUAGAAUUCAGUAUUUCAGUCUAUGAUUACCAUGUGAGUGUACAAAAAUAUCUGAAAGUAAAUUGACACACAUGUACCAAAAAAAUUUGACGUUUAUGUAUUUAAAUCUAAAAUAUUGCCAGAUUGGUUUUCACAGCUGUUUCGUAAGGUUUUCAUUAUUGUAAUGUAUCCCUUGAUGGUAUUUGUUAGUUCAACAUUAUUCAUUGUUGUAUCAUAGGACCUACAAUAAAUAUAUAUUCAACCACAAAGGUG